UCUCUAACUUCCAUCUUUCCUUCUCACCGCAAGUAAAACCUUUUCCUUAGCUAUGCAAUCUCUUUGAAAAGUAAAAUAACAAGACGAUGCAGACUGGUCACACAGUAUCACUCCUUUUCUUAAUCACUAUUUUCACGGAAAAAGACAAUACAGUUCAUCCCAAAUCUCUCUAUAAGAGGAGAACAAAUCUAAAAGAUGCACUUGGGUUUAAAACAUUUUUAAAAUCUUAGUAAGGAGCAUGUAUUCAACUACUCUAAAGCUUAGUUUUGGCAGAAAUGGAGAUCCGACAGAGCUUUGUUGUCUUCUUCGGUACAAAAAAUUCAACUUGGAGUUUCUUAGAACUAUAAAAGCCAAAUAGUGGACCCAGAGAAGGCAUGAAAAUUGAAAAGAAGAAAAAAAUGGUUGAUGCACUUAGAUGCAGAAUUUGGGGUUCUCAUGAAAUACGUAAUUUUUUUCUUGGGUUUUCUUUUUCUCUUAUUGUAUUCAUAAUUAUAUUCUUCAAUUGAGACUACUCACUCCGAUUCAACAUUUUUCCUCUAAGAUUCUCCCUAUUUGUUCCAAUUAUUUGAUUUACACAAGUAAAUAUUGCAUCUACCUGCUCUGUUUUCUGGAUAAAUAUGGGAGCUUGGGAUGUGUAUCUUGGUAGCAGCUCAAGGUAAACGAAGAGAGGAGAGAGAAUUAUUGGUAACUAUAGCUAAUACUCUGUAUUAGUUAUUGAGUUAGCAAAA